AAAUCAUCAGAAAAUGUUCAUACUGUAAAAUAUAUUGCAUUGUAGAUAUAUACCUAUGCCCUGUGGGACUUUAAAGACCUGAUCUGCCAAGAAUAUUGUUAAACUAGGGCAUUAUUGAACAAAUUAUUGUGCUAUUUAAUUUUGUUGAGUCUUUAAUGUAGCAACUUGUGUUACACCUACAUGUUUCAUUCCAUGAAAACAGAAUUGGUGCCUGCUAUAAUUUUAUCUACAAAGACCAUAUCUAGGUUCUCGUGUUUGCAAUAUUAGCUCAGUGGAAUAUUCUGUGCAGAAGUAAACAGCAAUGUUAAUGAUGGUUUGAG